rnacentral:rRNA from 1 species
UAAUACGGAGGAUCCAAGCGUUAUCCGGAAUCAUUGGGUUUAAAGGGUCCGUAGGUGGAUGAUUAAGUCAGGGGUGAAAGUCUGCAGCUCAACUGUAGAAUUGCCCUUGAUACUGGUUAUCUUGAAUUAUUAUGAAGUGGUUAGAAUAUGUAGUGUAGCGGUGAAAUGCAUAGAUAUUACAUAGAAUACCGAUUGCGAAGGCAGAUCACUAAUAAUAUAUUGACACUGAUGGACGAAAGCGUGGGGAGCGAACAGGAUUAGAUACCCUGGUAGUCCACGCCGUAAACGAUGGUCACUAGUUGUUCGGACUUCGGUCUGAGUGACUAAGCGAAAGUGAUAAGUGACCCACCUGGGGAGUACGUUCGCAAGAAUG